AUCCACCUGACGAGUCCCAAAUAGGACGAAACGCGUGUCCUAGAU
rnacentral:hammerhead_ribozyme from 1 species